rnacentral:rRNA from 1 species
UACGAAGGGGGCUAGCGUUGCUCGGAAUUACUGGGCGUAAAGGGCGCGUAGGCGGAUACUUAAGUUAGAGGUGAAAGCCCAGGGCUCAACCCUGGAACAGCCUUUAAUACUGGGUAUCUUGAGUUCGGGAGAGGUGAGUGGAACUCCGAGUGUAGAGGUGAAAUUCGUAGAUAUUCGGAAGAACACCAGUGGCGAAGGCGACUCACUGGCCCGAUACUGACGCUGAGGCGCGAAAAGCGUGGGGAGCAAACAGG